AAAUGAAGUAGCGCCUUGGAAAGCCAGUUCAAAUCAAGUGGCUGCCUCUCCUCCUCCCCCAACCAAAUGAGGUAGUGUGUCUAGAAAAAAAUAAUAAUACUUCGUUACAAAUAGCAUGGAAGUCCAUCCCUUAAGUGUUUUAAAUCUUUUUGUUAUUAUUUACUCCGCGUCCUGCAAUGGAAUUAUGAGCCCAGCGGAUGAGAUGUUGGAGAGAGGGGAGAAUACAAAGGAAUAAUAAGGCGCUGACCAUGCUGCAUUUCCAUUUCCAUGGGACAUAAAGGGCUUCUAUGCACAGCUUAAUCAUUAACCCGCAUUUUUUGCAGACAAUCCUCAAUCUUUUGGCAGAAGGACGAGCCAUUCGUUCUCAUUUCUGCGCCAGAUGAGAAAGAACAACAACCUCAGAUCACAGCCUUGUUCGAAAUAUAUCAAGGGAAAACCCCACCAGGAGCAGGGUGUGAAAAAUGGGAAGAAGUUUCAUCACCAAAAGGCAAAGCGGAGGACAUGCAGCGAGGAGCAGGGGAGAAGAGAGCCGGCAGCAAGGGGAAUCCCUCUGCAUGAUGCGAAGCUGUCACUGGGAUUAUAUGGCUCGACAUGACCGUGCAGUGCAGGCCAAUCCAACCAACACACCUCAACUUUUCCCUGACCCGGGCAGAGGCACAUAGAGUCGAGUAGGAUGUCAUUAAGGAACAAAAACAAGGAGAAAAUGUAAAACCAAAGGCCCUCAGCUGAGAACCUACUUAAAAAAAAAAGUUUUUCCAGACUUGCCCUUUGCAUAAAAGUAAAAGUUGAAUGAUUAUGUUUGAAAUCUCAUCUGUUUCAGCAUAAAACAAAUGUAUCAGAGUUAUUUACACAAAUCAAGGCUCCUUAUCACUGUCAGCGAAGAAGAGUUAGAGGCGCAGACCUCUGGAUGUUGGCCAGACAGCGGUCCAUAUCUUCCCACAAUGUUGACACUCGGAGCUCUUAACAGCCAAGCUUGGGUUACCGAUACACACAGCCGAAGAUAAGUCUUUCUGCGAGGUUUACACCGGCCAACAUCAAGGCUAAUGCGAAAUUCAACGCCUUCAGCUCAGUGGAGCCAUCUCUCAUGGACGCACAGCAGCACUGGGACGGACCAGGACUGGGGAUUUGUGCUUGCAUAGGUGGUUGUAAUAAAGAUAUUUUAAUUUUCA